UGGGGAAUAUUGCACAAUGGGCGAAAGCCUGAUGCAGCAACGCCGCGUGAGUGAUGAAGGCCUUCGGGUUGUAAAGCUCUGUCUUUUGGGACGAUAAUGACGGUACCAAAGGAGGAAGCCACGGCUAACUACGUGCCAGCAGCCGCGGUAAUACGUAGGUGGCAAGCGUUGUCCGGAUUUACUGGGCGUAAAGGAUGCGUAGGCGGAUUUUUAAGUGAGAUGUGAAAACCCUAAGCUUAACUUGGGGACUGCAUUUCAUACUGGAAAUCUAGAGUGCGGGAGAGGAGAAUGGAAUUCCUAGUGUAGCGGUGAAAUGCGUAGGGAUUAGGAAGAACACCAGUGGCGAAGGCGAUUCUCUGGACCGUAACUGACGCUGAGGCAUGAAAGCGUGGGUAGCAAACAGGAUUAGAUACCCUGGUAGUCCACGCCGUAAACGAUGAGUACUAGGUGUAGGAGGUAUCGACCCCUUCUGUGCCGCAGUUAACACAAUAAGUACUCCGCCUGGGAAGUACGAUCGCAAGA
rnacentral:rRNA from 1 species